UACAGAGGGGGCAAGCGUUAUUCGGAAUUAUUGGGCGUAAAGGGCGCGUAGGCGGCGCGGUAAGUCACUUGUGAAAUCUCUGAGCUUAACUCAGAACGGCCAAGUGAUACUGCAGUGCUAGAGUGUGGAAGGGGCAAUCGGAAUUCUUGGUGUAGCGGUGAAAUGCGUAGAUAUCAAGAGGAACACCUGAGGUGAAGACGGGUUGCUGGGCCAACACUGACGCUGAUGCGCGAAAGCCAGGGGAGCAAACGGG
rnacentral:rRNA from 1 species